CAGUACAAAGGUGGAACAAAAACCAGGUGUUUCAUUUCAUUACAAAUGCCAUCUAAUACCGGUCAUCUUGUUGAUCGUCUCAUUGGGUUGAUAACAAGCGGCUGUCAUAAAGGCUAUCUGUUACAGUCAGCUCAUUUACAUUUUACUGCUUCAGAACAGCGAUAUACCUUUUGAGGUCAAUGCCAUCGCCGGUGAGGGGGAGUCAAUUAUCGUGAGUCUAGGAAUCAGGGUGUCUCCUGGACCAAUUCCACCAUUUAGAGGGUUCAUGGUGGAUGUCCGGAAGUCAGAAAUAGAUCCUGCCAAAGGAAGUUUCGUUGAGUUUGGUCCUGGAAGUACUGGCUUGACGUGCAAUGGCAUUCAGGAUUCUGCUGUUACUCAAAACUCAAACAUUCCAAAGACUUUUGUUCAAGUUAAAUGGCAAGCACAGGAAAAUGGAUCCUCUUCAUUCUUUGUGCGAGCCACAUUUGUUCAAGAUUUCUUCACAUUUUGGAGACCAG